UACGGGGGGGGCAAGCGUUGUUCGGAAUUACUGGGCGUAAAGGGCGUGUAGGUGGCCAACUAAGUCCGACGUGAAAUCCCCAGGCUUAACCUGGGAACUGCGUCGGAUACUGGAUGGCUUGAGUUCGGGAGAGGGAUGUGGAAUUCCAGGUGUAGCGGUGAAAUGCGUAGAUAUCUGGAGGAACACCGGUGGCGAAGGCGGCAUCCUGGACCGACACUGACGCUGAUGAGCGAAAGCCAGGGGAGCAAACGGG
rnacentral:rRNA from 1 species